UACGUAGGGUGCGAGCGUUGUCCGGAAUUAUUGGGCGUAAAGAGCUUGUAGGCGGUCUGUCGCGUCUGCUGUGAAAAUCCGGGGCUCAACCCCGGACCUGCAGUGGGUACGGGCAGACUAGAGUGUGGUAGGGGAGACUGGAAUUCCUGGUGUAGCGGUGAAAUGCGCAGAUAUCAGGAGGAACACCGAUGGCGAAGGCAGGUCUCUGGACAGUUCCUGACACUGAGGCACGAAGGCCAGGGGAGCAAACGGG
rnacentral:rRNA from 1 species